UGGUGGAGCGAUUUGUCUGGUCAACUCCGAUAACGAACGAGACUCUAGCCUACUAAAUAGUUCGGGGACCCCCACAAAGGGGCCCCGCUUCAACUUCUUAGAGGGACAGGUGGCGUUUAGCCACACGAGAUUGAGCAAUAACA
rnacentral:rRNA from 1 species